rnacentral:lncRNA from 1 species
AAAUCAUUGAUCAGCUCUAUAGUUUAGUAAGAGUUAUUCCACCAUUCUCCUGCCAGAUCUAUUCUUCACUGCAUUAUCACUGUUUGGCAGUGCUGUAGUUCCUGCCUGCGGCCAACCUGGGAAGCUACUCCUCCAAUAUGCAGAUAUUUACCUAAUCUUUCCAGCACAGAGGUUGUUUGAUUUCGGAGGUCCAGAAGUGUUUCUGAAAUUUCACUCUGCUUCUGUGUUGGGAUGGCACCCAGGUAUGUAUUAUCUCAUUCUUUCUCCCUAAUCAAUUAUUUGAAUGGCCUAAAAAG